GUGUCAGCAGCCGCGGUAAUACAGAGGGGGCAAGCGUUGUUCGGAAUUACUGGGCGUAAAGGGCGCGUAGGCGGCCUGCUAAGUCGAUCGUGAAAUCCCCGGGCUCAACCCGGGAACUGCGACCGAUACUGGUUGGCUUGAAUUCGGGAGAGGGAUGCGGAAUUCCAGGUGUAGCGGUGAAAUGCGUAGAUAUCUGGAGGAACACCGGUGGCGAAGGCGGCAUCCUGGACCGGCAUUGACGCUGAGGCGCGAAAGCCAGGGGAGCAAACGGGAUUAGAUACCCUAGUAGUCC
rnacentral:rRNA from 1 species